CAUGCAGUCGAGCGAAACCCGAGAAGGGGUAACCCUUUUCGGGGGACAGCGGCGAACGGGUGAGUAACACGUGGGCAACGUGCCCCAGACACCGGGAUAACAGCGGGAAACUGCUGCUAAUACCGGAUAAUCCCUGAUCACCGCAUGGUGAACAGGGCAAAGCUCCGACGGUCUGGGAUCGGCCCGCGUCCUAUCAGCUUGUUGGUGGGGUAAUGGCCUACCAAGGCAGUGACGGGUAGCUGGCGUGAGAGCGCGAUCAGCCACACUGGGACUGAGACACGGCCCAGACUCCUACGGGAGGCAGCAGUAGGGAAUCUUGCGCAAUGGGCGAAAGCCUGACGCAGCGACGCCGCGUGAGGGAUGAAGGCCUUCGGGUUGUAAACCUCUUUCAGCAGGGACGAAGCCUCACGGUGACGGUACCUGCAGAAGAAGCCCCGGCCAACUACGUGCCAGCAGCCGCGGUAAUACGUAGGGGGCAAGCGUUGUCCGGAUUUAUUGGGCGUAAAGAGCUCGUAGGCGGCCGUCCACGUCGGAUGUGAAAGCUCGGAGCUCAACUCUGAGAGGCCAUUCGAUACGGGGCGGCUAGAGGCAGGUAGGGGAGAGUGGAACUCCUGGUGUAGCGGUGAAAUGCGCAGAUAUCAGGAAGAACACCGGUGGCGAAGGCGGCUCUCUGGGCCUUGCCUGACGCUGAGGAGCGAAAGCUGGGGGAGCGAACAGGAUUAGAUACCCUGGUAGUCCCAGCCGUAAACGUUGAGUGCUAGUGUGGGGAGGUCUUCAACCCUCUCUGUGCCGCAGCUAACGCAUUAAGCACUCCGCCUGGGGAGUACGGC
rnacentral:rRNA from 1 species